rnacentral:rRNA from 1 species
GACGAACGCUGGCGGCGUGCCUAAUACAUGCACGUAGGACGCAGUUGCGACCGGGUGAGUAACGCGUAGGUAACUACCUAUUAGAAGGGGAUAACUAUUGGCAACGAUAGCUAAUACCGCAUACUAGUAGAUGGACCUGCGUUGUAUUAGCUAGUAGGAAGGGUACUGGCCUACCUAGGCAACGAUACAUAGCCGACCUUGGAGGGUGAUAGGCCAAAAUUGGACUGAGACAAGGCCCAGAAUCCUACGGGGGGCAGCAGUAGGGAAUCGUCGGCAAUGGGGGGAACCCUGACCGAGCAACGCCGCGUGAGAGAAGAAGGUUGUCGGAUCGUAAAGCUCUGUUGUUAAGGAAGCGGUACUUAACCAGAAAGGGACGGCUAACUACGUGCCAGCCGCCGCGGUAAUUC